rnacentral:lncRNA from 1 species
AUAUUUAUUAACAUCAAAUAAAUAAUAUAUUAAUAAUUUUAUCAUAAUUUUAAGUAUCAAUGAUGAUGGAUAGUAACUAUUUAGAUGAAUUAAUUAUCAUUGCUCGAGGUCCUAAUAAUAUUGUCAACAAAUAUAAUGGUUUCAUCAUUAAUGAAUUCAAAUUUCAUACAAAAGAAUAUGAAAUUUUUAAAAAAAAUCCAGAAUAGUGGAGUUAUGAUGGAAGC